UACGGAGGAUCCAAGCGUUAUCCGGAUUCAUUGGGUUUAAAGGGUGCGUAGGCGGAACGAUAAGUCAGUGGUGAAAGCCUGCAGCUUAACUGCAGAACUGCCAUUGAUACUGUCGAUCUUGAGUACAUUUGAUGUGGGCGGAAUGUGUCAUGUAGCGGUGAAAUGCUUAGAUAUGACACAGAACACCGAUUGCGAAGGCAGCUCACAAAACUGU
rnacentral:rRNA from 1 species